rnacentral:rRNA from 1 species
UAGGGAAUAUUGGUUAAUGUGCGAAAGCGCGAACCAGCAACGCUGCGUGUGCGAUGAAGGCCUUCGGGUCGUAAAGCACUUUUUGCAGGGACGAGGAAGGACGGUACCUGCAGAAUAAGUCUCAGCUAACUACGUGCCAGCAGCCGCGGUAAAACGUAGGAGACGAGCGUUAUCCGGAUUUACUGGGCGUAAAGCGCGUGCAGGCGGCAUGGCAAGUUGGAUGUGAAAGCUCCCGGCUUAACUGGGAGAGGUCGUUCAAUACUGCCAGGCUUGAGAGUGGUAGAGGGAAGCGGAAUUCCGGGUGUAGUGGUGAAAUGCGUAGAUAUCCGGAGGAACACCAGUGGCGAAAGCGGCUUCCUGGCCCAUUUCUGACGCUCAGACGCGAAAGCUAGGGUAGCAAACGG